rnacentral:rRNA from 1 species
UACGUAGGGUCCGAGCGUUAAUCGGAAUUAUUGGGCGUAAAGCGCGCGCAGGCGGUCAUUUAAGUCUGGUGUUUAAUCCCGGGGCUCAACCCCGGAUCGCACUGGAAACUGGGUGACUUGAGUGCAGAAGAGGAGAGUGGAAUUCCACGUGUAGCGGUGAAAUGCGUAGAUAUGUGGAGGAACACCAGUGGCGAAGGCGACUCUCUGGGCUGUAACUGACGCUGAGGCGCGAAAGCGUGGGGAGCAAACAGG